UGGCAGUUGGCAGUGCAGUGCUGGGGCUUGAACUGGGUGCAGGCGCCAUGAUCGCAAUUAUUGUUAUCGGCAUCGUCCUCAUCCUCAGCAUACUACUCAUCAUACUGAAGACAUAUAACAAGAAGAUGCACACAAGGAGGAUACUCAAUGGGACUUCCACCAAACCACGUAAAAACACGACCUCAACAACAAUGACGACACUGCAGAUGGAGAACAUGCGAGGCAGUGCCAACAUGCGAGGCAGCGCCAACAUGGGAGGCUUAGUACACUUGCCCAACAUCUCGGAGAACGGGUUCCAUUUACCACGAGCCGAGGUGGCUAACACGGCUGAACGAAUCAGCAUGAACAGUGGCUCCACUGUGGUCACGAUACAUAACACGCCAUCGAUCGAAAAUACGUAAAAAAACAAACAAAAAAAACAACAACCAAUAUGUGACUUCAAUGGGCUCCAUUGUGCUGUGUGAUGAGAAAACACACCCCCACAACGAACAAACUGAUCAGAGGAUGAUGACCAGGACAUGGAAAAACAAAAGACAGACCAAACAUUGAAUUACUGGCAUGUUGAGACAAACAUGAGCACCUCUGAAGGCCGAAUGUAGUCAAUGGACCACUGGGUCAGACUGUGGUCAAAUGGACCACAGGGACUCUCAGAGCUAAGCGUGGGCAAAUGGACCACUGGGGACAUUUAGGGUUCAUUAUAGUACUGAGAAAACCAUUCCACCAGGACCAGUGGCCAUUUCACCUAAUAACCCUACUUUGUGGUCUCUGGAAAAUGAAACUAUCCAGUUUUAUAAUAGGGACCUCACAUGUCAUGACUGAACAAGUAAUACAGUGUGUGGUAUCACAUAUAAACAGUUUCCUGUGAGUCCAAGUGCAAAGACAGUAAUAAAAAGAGUGAAGGUUGUAACGUGUAACUAUUGCACUAACAAUAACUGAUGUUUCCCUUUACUUAAAACUAAGAUCAACAGAAAACCCUUUUAGUCUAAGGGCAGUUGUUAAAUGGUCAGUAGAUGUUUAAUAUGCCACCACAGCAUUGCUGAAUUCUCGAACCAGAAGAAGCUGUAACAAACAAAAGGUGUAUAUUAACACAUCUGUGUACAUCAUUCUAAUAGGUUGUCGUUUCUAUAGCAACAGCUCAUUCACACAUUAAAAAUGUGUUGUUAUUUAAAUGUAGACUCAUUGAUCAUGUGAUGUUUUCUUGAGGAGACAUUUAUUUGAACAUGUUUGGAAGGAGUCUCCAGUGUCAGCACUUUGUAACAGUUUUCUGCCAUGUGAAAGUCUUCAGGAUGGAGGACUUUGCACAUUGAGAUUUCUUGUCUUAUUAACUUGAAGAGAAAUUGGGGGAAUAACUGUUUAGUAUUGUAAUGUAAGUGAUUAGUGCAUAUUAGCUGUGUUCGACUAGAACUCGUACACUGUAAUUCCCAACCUCCAGCCAAGAAAAGCUACUUGAAAACGCUACUGAAAAUAAUACACUCCACACGAAACUUCCCUCUUAUUCAUGUCGGGUCGUAUCGUAUCACACCCAGCUCAUGUUGAUUGUUUUCCUAUAAUAGCAUGGACGGUCAUGUUCUGUUCCUUACAUUUAACACAAUUUCAAAACCACAACACGAUAAAGGUCUUAUUAACAGACAAAAGUGGAAGUCUUAACAAAGCUGCUCUUAUGGAGUUUUGUCCAAAUUUCAAACACUAGAGUGAUACAGUUAAAAAUAUAUAUAUAUAAAUAAAUGAAUGAAAUGUUACUUACAUUUUCCCUGAGGUUUAUUAAUAUCUGUCCACAAUCCUGAGGAAACAGAAGAACUGUUCAUCAAAUUUAUACAUUUGACUGAAGAAUUCAUUAAAGCUCUCUACAUGUUAAAUGCAUACGUUUACUAUCACCCAUCUGACGCCCAACAGCCUCCCUAUGUUUUGUGUUUCACAUAAGAAUCUCUUGCUCUUUUCUCAGUAAAGAGAAACGUCAAAAUUGUCUAUGGUGCACAUUAUGGAUGUAGUAGAUAGGAUGUAGUGAGAGGAGAAAAAAAACAAACUCCGGAGCAUUUUAAGGCAGUAACUUGAUGUACAAGUUGGUGUUUACUUUAGAAUUUUGCACAUUCACAUGAUAUUGAGUAAAUGAAGCUUUUUAUGUUGUUGGGACAUUAAAAACAAAUGAAAUGAUUUGUGUGAAUUGUGCUGUUACUGGUUACACCUACUAAGAUUCCUGUACAAGUUCAACUUGUGUACCAUGGAGUCAUGGAACUCGAUUCUGAUUGGUCAGACGCGUGUUGAUGAAUUUUCUAUAAAAGGUUUUUAUUAAGGC
ensembl:lncRNA